UGGGGAAUAUUGCACAAUGGGCGCAAGCCUGAUGCAGCCAUUCCGCGUGUAUGAAGAAGGCCUUCGGGUUGUAAAGUACUUUCAGCGGGGAGGAAGGGAGUAAAGUUAAUACCUUUGCUCAUUGACGUUACCCGCAGAAGAAGCACCGGCUAACUCCGUGCCAGCAGCCGCGGUAAUACGGAGGGUGCAAGCGUUAAUCGGAAUUACUGGGCGUAAAGCGCACGCAGGCGGUUUGUUAAGUCAGAUGUGAAAUCCCCGGGCUCAACCUGGGAACUGCAUCUGAUACUGGCAAGCUUGAGUCUCGUAGAGGGGGGUAGAAUUCCAGGUGUAGCGGUGAAGUGCGUAGAGAUCUGGAGGAAUACCGGUGGCGAAGGCGGCCCCCUGGACGAAGACUGACGCUCAGGUGCGAAAGCGUGGGGAGCAAACAGG
rnacentral:rRNA from 1 species